UACGUAGGGUCCGAGCGUUGUCCGGAAUUAUUGGGCGUAAAGGGCUCGUAGGCGGUCUGUCGCGCGGGAGUGAAAAACUCAGGGCUCAACCCUGAGCGUGCUUCCGAUACGGGCAGACUAGAGGUAUCAGGGGGAGAACGGAAAUUCCUGGUGUAGCGGUGGAAUGCGCAGGAUAUCAAGGAAGAACACCUAUGGCGAAGGCAGCUCUCUGGGACGGUACUGACGCUGAGACGCGAAAAGCGUGGGGGAGCGAACAGG
rnacentral:rRNA from 1 species